ACGGAGGUAGAGCACUGAAUGUCCUAGGGGGUAUUGCACCUACCGAAGACUAUCAAACUCCGAAUGCCGUCAUCUUAUACUUGGGAGUCAGACUGUGGGUGAUAAGAUUCAUAGUCGAAAGGGAAACAGCCCAGAUCGUCAGCUAAGGUCCCUAAAUGUAAGUUAAGUGGUAAAGGAUGUGGGAUUGCACAGACAACCAGGAUGUUGGCUUAGAAGCAGCCACUCAUUCAAAGAGUGCGUAAUAGCUCACU
rnacentral:rRNA from 1 species